UGUCUUGUUUGUGUUCUUACAGGUUAAAAACGUUGUCCCGAAUGCCGACGGGGAAACGUUGUCCGACUUCGUGCGCCACGACAGCCGGACGGAAGCCAAACGUUACGCGAUGAAUCCUUCCAAAGCCGGUGAAACCAGCGCCUUCCUGGAGAAGGCGGUGAAGGGAGAAGAUACCGCACCGCGGGCGCCGCAGAGAACCAGCCAUCCACCUCCAGAAAGCAGGAGACGAGAGAGGACGUCUCCGAGCGGAGCACCACCCCUGAAGAGACCGAGGUGCAGUACUAGGAGUCUGGCACGUCCGCCGGGGAGGAGGAGCAGGAACGGACGGCCAGACAAAAAAUAAGAUAUUCAGAGACAACGCAUCAGAUUACACUUGUACACCGUUUAACACUCAAGAACAAACAGAUACUCGGGCAUGGUGGUCUCCUCCAACUGAAGGACAUGGUGGUCUCCUCCAACUGAAGGGCAUGGUGGUCUCCUCCAACUGAAGAGCAUGUUGCUGCUCGCCUCCCACUGUGUCAGGUUAUGAAGCAGCUGAGGUCCAUUUAAAGCCCCAAACAGACUCCAGGAGAAAGAAGGACGAGGAAAGACUUCUGACAGUCAGUUGGAAGAGAGGGGUUGACUUCUGACAGUCAGGUGGAAGAGGGGGGUUGACCUCUGACAGUCAGGUGGAAGAGGGGGGUUGACCUCUGACAGUCAGGUGGAAGAGGGGGAGCUGUCUUCUGACAGUCAGGUGGAAGAGGGGGAGCUGUCUUCUGACAGUCAGGUGGAAGAGGGGGAGCUGUCUUCUGACAGUCAGGUGGAAGAGGGGGAGCUGUCUUCUGACAGUCAGGUGGAAGAGGGGGAGCUGUCUUCUGACAGUCAGGUGGAAGAGGGGGAGCUGUCUUCUGACAGUCAGGUGGAAGGAGGGGAGCUGUCUUCUGACAGUCAGGUGGAAGGAGGGGAGCUGUCUUCUGACAGUCAGGUGGAAGAGGGGGAGCUGUCUUCUGACAGUCAGGUGGAAGAGGGGGAGCUGUCUUCUGACAGUCAGGUGGAAGGAGGGGAGCUGUCUUCUGAAGAAUGUUCAACUUUCUCACAUGUAUACACACCACUCAGACACACUCAGACAGACACCACACUCAGACACCACACUCAGACACCAUUUUCAGACACCACACUCAGACACCAUUUUCAGACACCAUACUCAGACACCACACUCAGACACCAUUUUCAGACACCAUUUUCAGACACCAUACUCAGACACCAUACUCAGACACACCCAUUAUUAAAAGUAAUUUAAUGUCAUUUAAUUUGAUUUCUCGUUUAGAUUCAAUAAAAUAUUGUUACUAGUUCUCCACUGUGUUUUCAUUUCAGAGGUUGAAUGUCAAACAGGAUGGAGUGAAGUAACAUAGGAUCAUAUCUCAGGGAAUGUCAAACAGGAAGGAGUGAAGUAACAUAGGAUCAUAUCUCAGGGAAUAUCAAACAGGAAGGGAGAUUUAAAGCAGAACAGUGAAGUAACAGCAAAUACGUUGAAUGAGCAACUUCUGAGCAUGUAGAUCCUCACAAGGUUGACGAAAUUACCUCAUAUCUUUCUGUCUAAUAUGGCUAUUUACUGCUGUUGCCCUCAUUAGAGGCUUUCUGUAAGUAGUUAGGCCUAACUGUCCUGUCCAAGUUUAGCUGGAAUUUAGCCCCAAAGGAUUUAAGAGGAUUGGUUGACUACAGGCCUAACUGUCCUGUCCAAGUUUAGCUGGAAUUUAGCCCCAAAGGAUUUAAGAGGAUUGGUUGACUACAGGCCUAACUGCCCUGUCCAAGUUUAGCUGGAAUUUAGCCCCAAAGGAUUUAAGAGGAUUGGUUGACUACAGGCCUAACUGUCCUGUCCAAGUUUAGCUGGAAUUUAGCCCCAAAGGAUUUAAGAGGAUUGGUUGACUACAGGCCUAACUGUCCUGUCCAAGUUUAGCUGGAAUUUAGCCCCAAAGGAUUUAAGAGGAUUGGUUGACUACAGGCCUAACUGUCCUGUCCAAGUUUAGCUGGAAUUUAGCCCCAAAGGAUUUAAGAGGAUUGGUUGACUACAGGCCUAACUGUCCUGUCCAAGUUUAGCUGGAAUUUAGCCCCAAAGGAUUUAAGAGGAUUGGUUGACUACAGGCCUAACUGUCCUCUCCAAGUUUAGCUGGAAUUUAGCCCCAAAGGAUUUAAGAGGAUUGGUUGACUACAGGCCUAACUGUCCUCUCCAAGUUUAGCUGGAAUUUAGCCCCAAAGGAUUUAAGAGGAUUGGUUGACUACAGGCCUAACUGUCCUGUCCAAGUUUAGCUGGAAUUUAGCCCCAAAGGAUUUAAGAGGAUUGGUUGACUACAGGCCUAACUGUCCUCUCCAAGUUUUGUCACAAAAAUAUAAACACAACAAUGUUGGUCCCAUGUUUCAUGAGCUGAAAUAAAA
rnacentral:lncRNA from 1 species